AGUGAACGCUGGCGGUAGGCCUAACACAUGCAAGUCGAACGGCAGCACAGUAAGAGCUUGCUCUUACGGGUGGCGAGUGGCGGACGGGUGAGGAAUACAUCGGAAUCUACUUUUUCGUGGGGGAUAACGUAGGGAAACUUACGCUAAUACCGCAUACGACCUACGGGUGAAAGCAGGGGAUCUUCGGACCUUGCGCGAUUGAAUGAGCCGAUGUCGGAUUAGCUAGUUGGCGGGGUAAAGGCCCACCAAGGCGACGAUCCGUAGCUGGUCUGGGAGGAUGAUCAGCCACACUGGAACUGAGACACGGUCCAGACUCCUACGGGAGGCAGCAGUGGGGAAUAUUGGACAAUGGGUGCAAGCCUGAUCCAGCCAUACCGCGUGGGUGAAGAAGGCCUUCGGGUUGUAAAGCCCUUUUGUUGGGAAAGAAAAGCAGCAGGUUAAUACCCCGCUGUUCUGACGGUACCCAAAGAAUAAGCACCGGCUAACUUCGUG
rnacentral:rRNA from 1 species